UACGUGAGGGGCAAGCGUUGUCCGGAUUUAUUGGGCGUAAAGAGCGUGUAGGCGGCCAUACAGGUCCGUUGUGAAAACUCGAGGCUUAACCUCGAGACGUCGAUGGAAACCGUAUGGCUAGAGUCCGGAAGAGGAGAGUGGAAUUCCGUGGUGUAGCGGUGAAAUGCGCAGAUAUCAGGAAGAACACCCGUGGCGAAGGCGGCUCUCGUGGGACGGUACUGACGCUGAGACGCGAAAGCGUGGGGAGCGAACAGG
rnacentral:rRNA from 1 species